rnacentral:lncRNA from 1 species
UUGAUUACCCAGUGUUUGUUGAAAAGACAUUUAGAACUAAGAAAAUUGCAUCCCUAAAAAGACAAAUGGCCUCACUCGUAGAAAAUCUCUAUACCAAAAAUAUUAGAAAAAUCAAAAGACAGAUAUAUUUUGAGAUUAAGAAGUAGAAAAUAUACAUUUUUAUUGUUUGCAUUGCAUUUGCUAGGCUGGUCUAGACUCGCAAUAAAAAUUCUAAGUCUGAAAAAAAAAAAACCUACAGUAAGUGGUCACAUCUGGUGAUGCCAAGGAAAGUGCUGCUACUGGUUGUUGAUGGCUUUAAGGGCUUUUCAGUGCAGGUGCUUCCUCAGAAAAACUCUUAAUUUGCUAGGGACUGAUAUUUGUUAGCAGCCUUCCCAAGAGAAGAUUCUUGAGAGUGGGAAGAUUGGCCUGACUCAGAAACUCUUCACUAGAUACUUCCCUGUUUCCCUAGCUUGUUCCAUAGCAACCCCAAACCAGUGUCAGGUACUGAACGCCAGUAAAAAGGGAACUUCUCAAAGCAUCCAGAGAUU